rnacentral:lncRNA from 1 species
UUCUUCUUGCUGAUGAUAGAGCUGUCACGGUUCAAGGAGUUGGUUCCAUCAAGAUCAAGGCAACCGGAGGAUUAGUCACGCAGCUGAAAAACGUCUGAUAUGUUCCUAAUCUUAAAAGAAAUCUAAUUUCUGUUUCUACUCUUGAUUUGCAGGGUUUCACACAUGAAGGUGGUGAUGGGAAGACAAAGUUCUUCAAAAAUGGUAAAGUUGCACUGCAGGGCACCCUUACCGGAAGCUUAACGCAGGAGUCUAUACUGCUAUGUCUAAAGAUGAGACUGUGUUAUGGCAUAGCAGAUUAGGCCACAUGAAUAUGAAGAAUCUGAAGAUUUUGGUUGAGAAGGGUGUUCUUAACAAGAAGAGAAUCGGGAACAUGGAGUUCUGUGAAAUCUGCGUGGUGGGGAAGAAUAAGAAGCUGAGUUUCAGCAUUGGGAAGUACAGAGGAGGUUCUCAAAUACGUUCAUGCGGACUUAUGGGGUUCUCCUAAUGUCCAUUUUUUUUUCUCAAUGAAGCAGUAUAGAUGACUACUCUUGGAAGAUGCACCAGAGAAUCACAAGGUGAUAGGCUGUAAGUGGGUUUAUAAACUCAAGCCUGGGAUUCCUAGUGUUGAGGCUCCCAGAUAUAAGGCAAGGUUAGUUGCCAAAGGCUAUGCUCAGAGAGAGGGUAUACAUUAUCAAGAAAUCUUCUCACCGGAGGUUAAGCAUGUCUCGAUUUUUAUGAUGUUAUCAAGGACAAUGAAUGAGGAUCUAUAAUUGGAGCAGCUAGAUGCAAACACGGUGUUUCUACAUGGAAAUAUUGAAGAGGAUAUUUACAUGGAUCAACCGGAGGGAUAUGAGGUCAAAGGUCAGAAGGAAAAGGUUUGUCAUCUUCGUAAGUCUCUGUUAUGGCUUGAAACAAGCCUUGAGGUAGUGGAAUAGGUGCUUUGGUCAGUUCAUGUUGAAGCAUGGAUUUGUUAAGAGUAAAUUUGAUAUGUGCGUUUAUCUGAAGAAACUUGGAGGCAAGGUAUGUGUCUAUCUCCUUCAAUACGUAGAUGACAUGUUGAUAGCCUCUAAAGAGAUGUAUGAGAUCAUUAAGGUGAAGAAAUUUCUGAGUAGUGAGUUUGAUAUAAAAUAUUUAGAUCCUGCAAAACAAAAUCUUAGGUAUGGAUAUAGAGAGAGAUAGAAUAGGUGGAGUACUUACACUUUCUCAGUCUGGUUACAUAAAGAAGAUUCUACAAGUUUUCAGGAUGGAUGAAUCAAAGUCUGUAUCAACUCCUAUAGGAGAACAUUUCAAGCGUGCCUCAUUAGGAAAUGGAGAGGAUGAUGAAGUGAGAAGUGAAUUUCCUUAUUCAAGUGUUGUUGGCAGCAUUAUGUAUGCAAUGGGCACCAGGCCAGAUCUUGCUUAUGUUGUUGGUCUGGUAAGCAGGUUUAUGAGUAAUCCAGGAAAAGUUCAUUGGACGGCUGUACAGUGGAUUCUCAGGUAUUUUAAAAGGACUCAGGACAGAGGUUUAGUUUUCAGGAAGACUUCAGGGGAUUUCAAAGUUGAGGUUAUAGUGAUUCAGAUUUUGUUGGAGAUUUGGAUUGAAGAAGGUCGAUUUCAGGUUAUGUGUUUACUGCAGGUGGUAAUACGAUCAGCUGGAGAUCGGGAUUACAACAGGUUGUAGCAUUGUCGACUACAGAGGCUGAAUAUGUGGCCUUAACGGAGGCAGUUAAGGAGGGUAUUUGGCUGAAAGGCUUAGCAGAUUAAAUGGGUUUCAAGCAGCAGGUUGUGGCUGUGAAUUGUGAUCACAAAGUGUUAUCUGUCUAGCGAAGAAUAAUGUCUAUCACAAAAGAACAAAACACAUGGUAGUGAAAAUGAUAUAGUUGACUUGGAGAAAUAAGUGUUCAGAAGAUUCAUACUUCGAAGAAUCAUGCUGAUAUACUUACCAAGGUGAUUCUUGUUCAGAAGUUUGAGGCUACGCUUAAUGGCUUGAGGAGAUAGACUCGGAAAUGUUUGUGUCAAGGUGGAGUUUGUUGAAAUGUGACACAGUCACUUAUAUUAGUCAAAACCAGUUUUAGUUUAUGAUUUGGUACAAGCUCUAACUAGGUGAUCAUAGUAAUUUGAUUAGAACCGGUUACUGUCAUGUGUAUCAGCUUGGUUCAAUCUCUGAACCAAGGAGCUAAAUGAGUCUAUGUGUAUAAGUGAGCUGAGAGAUGAUUCUGCAGAGUUGUUGGGAAUCAUUCUUCUUCUUGCUCUGGAUCUGGUACGUUUUUGAUCUAGUGGAAUUCUUGCUAGCUUGAGAAAACAAGCCCCAGAGACGUAGCUUCGGCGAACCCUGGGUUAACAAAUCGUGUUUGUCUUUUACUUUCUUUCUAUCUUGCUUAAUCUCAUGAUUGUUCUUAUUGGAGU